GAACCAGUGUCAUGUAAUUCUGUGAAGACACCACUAGAGGUGUAUGAAGAAUUGCAAAUGGCAGGAUACCUUGUUGAUUAUGAACGCGUUCCUAUAACUGAUGAAAAAUCACCAAAAGAAAUGGAUUUUGAUGCUUUGGUUCACAAAAUUUCCCAGGCUGAUGUAAAUACAGAGGUAAUUUUA